ensembl:lncRNA
CAAAACGCUACCCUGAACCUGUGGAUACAAAGGAUUUGACUGUGGUAGGAGUAGCAAGAAGUCAGUGUAGCGUUUUCGCGGCGAAAUUUUGUAGAAGAUAUACAAUUUCCUCGUUUAUUGCGCCCCCUAAUGGCGUAAUUAUCCGAAAUUUUUAUCGUACAACAUUAAGGUUGGCACCAACAUGUGUGUACAAUUUGGACUCGUUCCGAUGUCUAAUUUUGGAUUUCCUUGGAUUUUUGAUUUUCCACGUCUAAUUUAGCUCAUAAACCAAUAUUCAAAACGCUACCGUUUCGUCGUCGAAGGUCGGAUCAAAAAAGUAUAUAGUUUUUCUUUUCGUGUGCGUCUGACGAUGUCGUGUGCAAAGUUUGGUGUCGAUUGGUCAAGAAAUGUGGGCGGAGUAGGGAAAAAACAGUUUUGCG